GACGAACGCUGGCGGCGUGCUUAACACAUGCAAGUCGAGGGCACGUUGGGGGCAACUCCGACGUGACCGGCGAACGGGUGCGGAACACGUGAGCGACCUUGCCUCGUGGUGGGGAUAGCCGGCCCAACGGCCGGGUAAUACCGCAUACGGUGUUUGCUUCGCAUGGAGCGAACAGCAAAGCUGUGCCGCAAGGCAUGGCGCCACAGGGGGGGCUCGCGGCCUAUCAGCUAGUUGGGGGGGUAAUGGCCCACCAAGGCGACGACGGGUAGCUGGUCUGAGAGGAUGGCCAGCCACAUUGGGACUGAGAGACGGCCCAGACUCCUACGGGAGGCAGCAGUGGGGAAUCUUGCGCAAUGGGCGAAAGCCUGACGUAGCGACACCGCGUGAGCGAAGAAGCCCCUUGGGGUGUAAAGCUCCGUCAGCUGGAACGAAAAAAAUGACGGUACCAGCAGAGGAAGCAUCGGCUAACUACGUGCCAGCAGCCGCGGUAAU
rnacentral:rRNA from 1 species